AAAAUUUAUUUGCUCAUUAACUUUAUAAUUAUUUUGCUAUUUUAAGUAUUUUUAAUUAGAAAAUAUUACGACGUUAUAAUUUAACAUAAAUUAUGAACCUCGGUAUACUUGUAUUAAUGGACUGUGGCAUCGUUAGAUUGAUAUAUAGCCUUUCCGAGUUGAAUUCUUGAUAAUUUCCACGGGCAAUGCUAAGAACGACCUCGCUUCGUCGAGCUUUUCAGCUCUCCUAUCGCUUUCGUGCUGGCGAAACGAUUUAUAACGCGCACCUCGCGUGCCGCGCGGUUUCUCAUUAUCUCGUAUCAGCGGCAGAAUGGCAUUUCACGAUCAAGAAAUUGCGCAAUGGGUUCGAAUUCCGCGCGUCCGUUCAACUCCGCGCGAUUAAACGCGCGAUCGGGGGAAACGCAUUAUUCGCGCUUCAAUGACUACGCGCGUUAUCACCAUUAUACUAGCUUGCGGACAAAAAUUAUUUUGAACUAGACAAGAUACUUUUUAUAGAUUUUUGGAUGCUGAAAAUUGAGAUUCAAUAUGCAAAAAAUGACUUGCGAUAUUUGCAAUUUUUUUGUGAACAAUGUUAACAUUAUCUUGAAAUUCUAAUCAAAAGUCAUAAAUAUAUUAUUUAUUUCUUGUAAAAUGUAUUUUUUAAUUUCGAUAUCUUACUUUUCAGUUUUUUGUUAUAAAAAAUUUAAAUUUGCUAAGAUAGCAAUUUUCUGCUUAUGAAACUUACAAGUACUUGUAUAUAUCAUUUGUAGUUUGCGGUUAUGCACAGUGUACUUUAUCAUGAUCAAUUUCUCUAAAUAUAUGCAUAAUUUAUGAUUAUAAUGUGUAUAUUUGUGUAUUAUACAAAUUAUAUAAAAUAUAUAAAAUAUAUAAAAUAUUUAUGAAAAUAUUAAUAUAUGAAUAUAUUAACGAAACUAUAAUUAAACAGUUAAAAAAUGAUGACCAUUGAACAACCAUAAAGUAACGUAUAUCGUAUCAAAAUGUGUCAUAACAAAUAAAAACGUGAACCAAUAAAUAAUAAAAUUAAAUGAGUAAUAAAAUAAAAAAUAAUAAAAUUUUUCCGCAAGUCGGUUUUCAUAUUAAAAGAAAAGAAUAGAUAGUCAAUAAGUCUUGUUGAUAAAUCCAAAAGAUCAAAAACGAUGGAAUACGUGUUAUGAAUAACAUAAACUGAUAUUCGUAUUGUAAAAAACUAUAAACUUAUAUAUGUUGAUCCCAGAUAUUAAAACACAAUAUUAAAAUUAAAACGAGCAACAAACACACAGAGUAUUCGACAAAGCGCUAAAGACAAGUGUAACGUUUGUUAGUUAGAGGCAGAAUCUCAUUUUCAGACAUGUUCUGUAUGGGGGGUCCCACUUGCCUACAGCUUCGUUUGCACACAAAUUUAGCAGAGCUGCUCGAUUGCCUACAGCUUCGUUUGCACACACAAAAAUAAGGUGCCAGAGUAGGAUUGCACAUAUGACAUUAUUGCGCCCAUACACAUUGCACACACGACAAUAUUGCGCGCAGACACAUCGCACACAUGACAUUAUUUCGUACAUGCACAUUGCACACAUGAUAUUAAUACAUUUAUACACAUUGCACAUGACAUUAUUGCGCACAUAGACAUUCCACGUAUGACAUUGUUGCACACAUAAGCUAAAGAAACAAUAUUAACACAUUGCACACAUAACAUUAUUGCGCUCAUACAUUCUAACAAGAACAAAGGAGUGAAUUCCAGAUGCGCACAGUGUAUAAUAGACAUCAUCAAUCAAAUUCUAUAAAUUUAUCGUAACAUUAACUAAAGCAGUAGUCUGGUUGAAACGACGUCCACGCUUAUACUAUACCACAUGGGUUUGCGACUUUCCAGGGCACCCCGACGGGGUGGGUGCGAGAGGGGGGGGAGAGCAAAGCCCCCCUUGCACCCGCAUCCCGUGUGUGUGUCCACGCUUUGUAUUGUUGCACAUGGGUUUGCGACUUUUCAUGCAAAGCGAGGUCUACCUACUUUUCUUUUUAUUUUUAAUUCACUUUUAUUUUUAUUUUUAAUAUGGUAUAUCUCGAAAACUAAAGCAGUUAGCCUUAUAAGAUUUAUACAAUUUUUUGUUUAGCAUAAAACAUAUCAGAAAUCAUCGUCAAAUCAAGGUGCCCAAGUUAUUGGAAUCGUGCCUCCAGAGUGUAUGAGCGCAAUGACAUCAUGUGUGCAAUGUGUUAAUAAUAUUUCUUUAGCUUAUGUGUGCAAUAAUGUCAUUUGUGCAAUGUGUAUGAGCGAAAUAAUAUCAUGUGUGCAAUCGUACUUUUGAACCUUAAUUAUUUUCGUGUGUGCAAACGAAGAUGUAGGCAAUCGGGUACCUUUGCAAAAUUUGUGUGCACACACUGCUGUAGGCAACAAAGCUGUAGGGCAACUGGAAAUGUAGGCAACUGAAACCCACUCAUUUUGCAGAGAUACCGAAAAGGAAAAAGGAGAGGAUUAAAAUCUGACAAAUGCUCUUUAAAGUAGAGACUUCAAGCUUUAAAAUGAAAAAAAAAGAACUUUCCAAUACGAUAAGUUUUCGCGAAGUUACGAUUAUUUGAAGUUGAGUGAAAUUUUGGUAAAAAUUUUUGUUGCGUUAAUUUUGCUCCUUAGUAUAUUUACUUCUAGAAAAUUUGUUUUUCAGUGCGUCAUGUUGACUAUUUUCAGCAUACAAAAAUUUUUAAGAAACGUCUAAUCAAUAUAAAAUUUAAAAAGUAUUUCUUAUAAAUUAGUGUCAUCGACAACUAUCGGGUUAACCACGUUAGAUUUGCGAGCAUCGCGUCUCUAGUGCAGCUGGCCGGAUGAUUUCUGUGUAACCCGUUUUCUUUCUUCCACCGGGCCGUGAAAAAGAGCCGCAGUCGACAACGCAUUUGCAUUUUGAUCGCUGUUCCGAGUGCGCUGAUAGGCAAAAAAUUAUAAAUGUAAAUACGCGAGGUGUUAGCUCGGGCACGAAGUAUGCAAAGUUCGCGCCACCCAGCGGCGAAAGCGCCCAAUCGUUAUCCUUUUUGCGCGUUUAGCGUAAAUCCGCUCCAUUUUUUUUUGUUGGUAUUAAAGUAUGGAACGGAGAAGGUCACGCGCCGCGUACUCGCGCUUUUCGACGGCGAUCUCGCCGAUGAAUGCCAAUUUUAAUACCCCGGCGCUUUUCUCUCGCCGAGAGAACCGUAAACCAUUGUUGGACGCGAGUCUUGGAAACGGGGCCGUACCCGAGGGACCGCGAGCGACGCGAAGACGGUAAAUCUAUUGGAGCAUUAUUAACUAGGCGGUUGCAUGUUACGCUACGUAAUGUGGCGUUGACUUCGGAGUGCGCAAAAGCGCAUACAUAUAAGCGUAUACACACCGGGUUAUAAUAACGGCGGCUCGGUCAUUCAGUUUUAAUUAAAUGAAUAUUCAUGCGAGCUUCCCGCACUGCAGCUGUUGGAAGAGAUAAAGAGAAAAAGAGAGAUGAAAGAAGAAAAUAAAAGAAGAGUGCUUGUAAGAACAGCAUCAGCUGCGAAGAUGCGUUUCAACAUUCGUUUGUUCGUUUAUUUAUUGUUGUUCCAAUUUCCGCGAUGACGGCGUAAUUUGCGCUGCAGUCGAACUGUAAAUUGCCGAAAAUGUUCUACGAGCAUUUUCACCCGCGCGCACCACGUGUCGUCGUUCGACCUCGUUUACGACGAGAGUAAUUCAUCGGCCGAAUGGAGGAGAGUCGAAAUUAAAGUUUAAACGACACUCGAGAGCGAGCGGCGACGCGGAAAUACGAGCCUUGAGCACCCGCUCUGCUAAAUUAGGGAAAAUUAUCAAGAAAACACUUGGAAAACACUUGGUAGUUUACGCACCCCGACUAUUUAUGCUAAUGACAAACAAACUCCGCGAAUGAGAUGUGAAUAUUUGUUCUACGUCGAGAAAAUCCCGAGAAACAUUUGUCGUUUAAACGCCGACAGCUCGCUCGGGUUUUAUUUGCUUCGUUAAAUCUUUAUUUUACCUUGAUCUUUUUUGAAUUUAACAGAGAUUGAAAGCAUAUUUAGACGGGUCAAAAAACGAGAUCUAACUUUGUGAAUUUUUUUGUGAAAAAAUGGAAAGAGAUGGAGAAGUCGUGUUUAUUCCACUGUAAAGAAAAUAUUUUUCUAUUUCUAUAUUUGAUAUUUAAAUUUUACUUGAUAAAGAAAAUUAUAAUGAUAUAAAGUAAUAAGCUUAUCAUGCCACUGUUGUUUUCACAGGAGACUCAUCAGAAUGCAAACUUUAUAAAGUUGAAACACAGAUCGAAUGCUUAACGUUUUUCGAAACAUUAUACUAUAUGUGCACAAUGAUAACUAGUCAAAGUCAAUAUAGCAGUUUUUCAACAUAAAGCUCGUUUUUUGAUUGUGAAGAAAAAAGUUAAAUAUAUUUUUAAAAAAUCCUAUGUCAGACUGGUUAUCAGUGUUAGUUUUUAGCGUUUCUAGAAGAAGUGCGUAAAAUUGCUAAUUAAUUGAUUAAGUCGGUCAGACUUCAAUAUAAUAGUCACGCGUUUUAAAAAAGAAUUUAUAAAAACAGCGACAUUUUAUAUAAUAUUUUUAGAAUAAAAUUUAAAUAUUAAAUAGAUAAAUUAUGACCUUUACGAUGAAAUAAAAACAGUUUUUUCUAUUUUCUACAAAAAAGUUUGCGAAAUUAAGCUUUUAGGUGUAUGAGAUAUAUGCUCUUUUGUUUCGUUGUUUUAUUACUGGACUUUUUUACGUGAUUCGUUUAUCAUGCAGUGUCAUUAUUAUCCUAUCUAAAAAAGGAGAUGGUCAUCGAUACUCGAAAGUCUCGAAAGUAUUGUUGCCUCUUUUCCGUGAUGCCGAUUGGUUCUCUCGCUGCGCUUACUUCGUGUUGCGUAAGUUAAAUGUAAAUUAAAUGUAAUGUAAUGACAGCUCGCAAGUGACAGCAGUAAAUGAUAAACAACAUAACCGUAACAAAUAGCUUUGUCAAGAGAAAAAUAACAAAAUGUCAGAAUGUUAUUUCGAAGUGUUUAACAACUCUCUUUAGCAAACUUAAUGGUGGAGAACUCGAGAGAGUAAUAACAAAUUUAUGAUCAAUCCAAAGUAUAUUAAAUCACAACUUCAUCGAAAAAAAUUAUACAUACAUACAUAGUUACGCAUUAAUAUAAAAAAAUAUGACUUAAGUACAUAAAAAGACAUGACUUAAAGACAUAAAAAGUAAUGCUAUUUAUGAUACUAUUAUUAAAUAAAUUAAUUGCUCAACUUUUAUCUAUCAAGAAAUACACAAUUUAUAACAGGCGGACUAUUUUACUGUCCAAUCUUUUACAAAUUUAUAAAUUCUAACAAUAUUGUAUAUCUACCAAGUAAUAAAUAAUAAAAAACCUGAAUAUAUGGAA